UGAGACCUUAAGUUAUUGAAGACUAUUAGCCUUCAAAGUUAAAAGAGCAAUUGAACUUUUGCAGGUUUCG
rnacentral:tRNA from 1 species